GACGAACGCUGGCGGCGUGCCUAAUACAUGCAAGUCGAACGCAGUUGGGACGGGUGAGUAACACGUGGGUAAACUCCCAUCAGGGGGGAUAACACUUGGAAACAGGUGCUAAACGGAUACUUCUAGAUGGAUCCGCGCUGCAUUAGCUAGUUGGGAAGGUAACGGCUCACCAAGGCCACGAUGCAUAGCUGACCUGAGAGGGGGAUCGGUCACACUGGGACUGAGACACGGCCCAGACUCCUACGGGAGGCAGCAGUAGGGAAUCUUGGGCAAUGGACGAAAGUCUGAUCGAGCAACGCCGCGUGAGUGAAGAAGGUUUUCGGAUCGUAAAACUCUGUUGGUAGAGAAGCGGUAUCUAAACAGAAAGCCACGGCUAACUACGUGCCAGCAGCCGCGGUAAUAC
rnacentral:rRNA from 1 species